rnacentral:rRNA from 1 species
GCGUCUCUUGUGACGUGCGGGGGUGCUUUUAACGGAGGUGAAGCUGGGACGACCUACCCUGCAGCGAGUUACCCUGUAACGAGUUGCCCUGUAGGGACCUGCCCUGUAGCCUGCCCGCCGGCGGCCAACCUAAACUCUGUUUUAUUGUGGCACUUCUGAGGAUUAUUCUAAAUGAAUUAAAACUUUCAACAACGGAUCUCUUGGUUCUGGCAUCGAUGAAGAACGCAGCGAAAUGCGAUAAGUAAUGUGAAUUGCAGAAUUCAGUGAAUCAUCGAAUCUUUGAACGCACAUUGCGCCCAUUAGUAUUCUAGUGGGCAUGCCUGUUCGAGCGUCAUUUCAACCAUCAAGCCCUAUUUGCUUGGCGUUGGGAGACUUGUAGGCCCGGCCUGCAAGCUCCUGAAAUAGAUCGGCGGAGUCGUGGCGACCCUCAGCGUAGUAAUUCUUCUCGCUUUAGGUGUCGGCGCUGGCGUUUAGCCGUUAAACCCCCUAUUUUUUUAGUCUUGACCUCGGAUCAGGUAGGAAUACCCGCUGAACUUAAGCAUAUCAUAAGCCGGAGGGAACGGUGUCGGAGUUUUCUAACUCCAAACCCUUGAGAACUACCUAGUUGCCUCGGCGGACUUGCCCUGGGACGACCUACCCUGCAACGAGUUUACCUGUAACGAGGUGCCUUGUAGGGACUGCCCUGUAGCCGCCGCCGCGCAACUAAACUCUGUUUUAUUGUGCCUUCUGAGAAUUAUCUAAGAUUAAACUUCACAACGAAUCUCUGGUUCUGGCAUCCAUUAAAAAGCACGAAUGCGAUAGUAAUGUGAAUGCAAAAUAUGAUCUCGAUCUUUGACGCAUUGGCCCAUUAUAUUAAGGCAUGCUGUGAAGCUCAUUCCACUAGCAUAAUUGUCUUGGCUGGAACUUGUAAGCGGCUUGACUGAAAUAAUCGGA